rnacentral:rRNA from 1 species
GACGAACGCUGGCGGCGUGCUUAACACAUGCAAGUCGAACGAUGAAGCGCAUCUUGCUGGUUGGAUUAGUGGCGAACGUGUGAGUAACACGUGAGCACCGUGCCCGCGACUCUGGCAUCACUACCGGACACGUUGUCUUAUACUGGAUAUGUGUCACGGAGGCAUUUUUUUUGAUUGCACCGAUUCUUAGGUUUCGGAUCGCCUCUCGGUCUCUCAUUUUGUUAGUGGGGUACUGCCCUACCAAGGCGACGUCGGUUAGGCGGCCUGAGAGGGUGACCGGCCACACUGGGACUGAGAGACGGACCAGACACAUACGGGAGGCAGCAGUGAGGAAUAAUGCACGAUGAGCGCGAGAAUGAUGCAGGAACGAAGCGUGAGGGAUGACGGACGUCGGGUGGUAAACAAAUUUUAGUAGGGAAGAAGCGAAAGUGACGGUACCUGCAGAAAAAGCACCGGCUAACUACGUG